rnacentral:rRNA from 1 species
CCACAAUGGACGAAAGUCUGAUGGAGCGACGCCGCGUGCGGGAUGAAGGCCUUAUGGGUUGUAAACCGCUGUCAGGGGGAAGAACAUCGGAAUGAACAAUACUCAUCCCGACUGACGUUACCCCCAGAGGAAGCUCCGGCCAACUCCGUGCCAGCAGCCGCGGUAAUACGGGGGGAGCAAGCGUUGUCCGGAAUUAUUGGGCGUAAAGGGCGUGUAGGCGGCGAGGUAAGUCGAAUGUGAAAUCUCACGGCUCAACCGUGAAACUGCGUUCGAAAACUACCCUGCUUGAGUACGGGAGAGGUGUACGGAAUUCCUGGUGUAGCGGUGGAAUGCGUAGAUAUCAGGAAGAACACCGGUGGCGAAGCGGUACACUGGCCCAGUACUGACGCUGAGGCGCGAAAGCGUGGGGAGCAAACAGGAUUAGAUACCCGGGUAGU